AUUGAACGCUGGCGGCAUGCCUUACACAUGCAAGUCGAACGGUAACAGGUCUUCGGAUGCUGACGAGUGGCGAACGGGUGAGUAAUGCAUCGGAACGUGCCCAGUUGUGGGGGAUAACUGCUCGAAAGAGCAGCUAAUACCGCAUACGACCUGAGGGUGAAAGCGGGGGAUCGCAAGACCUCGCGCAAUUGGAGCGGCCGAUGUCAGAUUAGGUAGUUGGUGGGGUAAAGGCCUACCCAGCCGACGAUCUGUAGUUGGUCUGAGAGGACGACCAGCCACACUGGGACUGAGACACGGCCCAGACUCCUACGGGAGGCAGCAGUGGGGAAUUUUGGACAAUGGGCGCAAGCCUGAUCCAGCAAUGCCGCGUGCAGGAAGAAGGCCUUCGGGUUGUAAACUGCUUUUGUCAGGGAAGAAAUCCUCUGGGUUAAUACCCCGGGGGGAUGACGGUACCUGAAGAAUAAGCACCGGCUAACUACGUGCCAGCCGCCGCGGUAAUAC
rnacentral:rRNA from 1 species